UUAAUGCCUGUGUAUUGAUUAACUGUUUUCUCGGUCAGGACAGUUGAUUGAUUUGAAAUUAACAGUGAAACCAACAAGGGAUGCUGGGUAUGAUUAUUUUGAUAUCCCUAAUAAUGGAUUGACCUAAUAAUUCAUCUGCAGGUUAGACGGAUUAACGGGAGAUUAAAAGGUAAGUUUAGUUACGUCAUCCUGGAAUAUUGGUUGACAUAUAUAUUGGAAUGUGAACUACAGGUUUAAUUACUAAAUCGAUCUCUUUAAUUACAGAAUUUGUAGCAGAAAAGUAUAAUCAAUAUUCGUCUUCUGUUAUUUUACACAAUGAUAUGGUUUGUUUGUAAAUUUGACAUUUACUAUGCACCUUUGUUAUGCCUGUAACCAUACCAAGAUAAGGGAAAACCAAACGGUAAAAUGCAUGACACAAAGUGGAAAAAAAGGGGGGGGGAUAAUUGCAGGAUAUCAUCCCAUGCAACUUGAAGUAAAGUUGACAUUUACUACUACUCUGUGCCUUUGUUAUGCCUGUAGUAUCGAAAUCAUGAGGGGACCCAAACGGUAAGAUGACAUAAAGGAAAUUAAAUACUCUGUGCCUUAUAGCCGAUGAUAUACAUGACGAGAAAAGGGGUGAUAUACAUGACAUACAGGAAAAAAAGGGGGGAUAAUUACCGGAUAUCAUCCCAUGCAACUUGAAGUAAAUUUGACAUUUACUAUAUAUCUUUGUAAUGCCAGUUAUCGUAUCAAGAAAGAAAAAAACCAACCGACAAAAGGGAAAAGAGGAUCAUAGAGAUAAUUGUCGGAUAUCAUUUCUGAUUUUGGAAGUGACAUUUACAUUGCUAAUUUAAAUGCUUAUAACCGUACCAGCGGAGAAAAACUAACCGUGGUGACAUGACUAAAGGGGGGGGGAGGGGUGUCAUUGUUGGAUAUCCUCAGCUUAAACUUAAACCGUAUCGACCUGUUCAUCUUCAUUAUAACAUGUUACUUGCUGUAUGUAACUGUCAUUGUACAUCUUAAUGUCAAGGGUUGGUUUUGCAGUUUUUACUGAAUAAUCACCAUGGCUUAAUUUAAUCAUGUUUAACAUGUUUUCGGACACCGACUGUCCGAACUCUCAAAGCAUUCGUAUUUUUUUUUUAUAUAAUUUUGAUUUAUAGUAAAAAACAAAGGAUAUGGGGUAUUCAUCCAUGAGAAAAAAACAUCAGUACAUGCACAUAAAAAAUCACACAAUAAGCAAAAAAUAGCGCAUUUAUUGCUGUUAUUCAUAUCAAAGUCACAGUAAAGAUUUCUAUACGGAGCAAAACAACUGACAUCACUGCACGUUUUAAACGGCAUCUGUAAUCCGCUCCAGGGAAACUACAGGUUGUCAUACGAUAGUGGUACCUUUUCUUAGAUAUUUACCCUUUGUAUGAACAUUGAGUUUAUCGAAUAAUAUAGGUAGGUACAUUAAAAAAUGAUAUCAUCAUAAAAUAUGUAGAACUGAAGAUGACAGGAACAAAACUUUUUGGCGACGUAAUUUCAUGAAAAGACAUAGCUUUAAAAUUAAAGAUAUGUGAAGAUUCUUUCCAUCUUAGACAUUGUCAUUGUUUAUUCAAUACAAGUCGUCACACUCUUUUGACUGACUGUCAGUCACAAAGGAAAUACGCCACUUACAUUACAUUACUCGUUCUAAUGAAAGCACUUUUAAUUUAAAUUUUGAAAUUAUAAAUUUUACUAAUGAAUAAACUAGUGAUUCACUUUUGUCAUGAUAACAGGCUGACUUUCAUUGUCAAAUGUUAAUCUGAAUACGGAGUCUGUCUUAGUAUGCUUGUUUUGUAGGGGGAGCGUCCGACCCCCUGAACACGGGUGUUGGUCAAGUUAUCCUAAGAUUGUUUUGGCUUAGUCGCUUUUUUUCUCUUGUUAUAAUCUAUAUUUCAUUUGCAUCAAUAAACUUAUGGUCUAUGGAGUUUUACCUGUAUUUUAGUAUAACAUUUUGCUUCGUACAUUUUUUUUUGACAAAUGCUUUGAGAUGAGACACGUGUUCGCCUGUUUGAGUAUUGUACUGUUAUCUCAAUAUUUCUUUUAUGUUUUAUUUAAACCAAUAACGUAAAUUGUCACAUCUAGUGAACUAUCGGUUCCCGAUUGUACGAGCUGCCUAGCUGCAAGCGUUUUGAUACUGACAUUAUUAAUCAAUACAUUAUUUUUGUAAAUCAAAACUUAGGCUUGCACCCUCAGAAUAUUUUGAUUUGUCUUUUCAGUUUUUUUAGUUUUGAUGCCCCGUUGUUGCUUUACAUAUAUGCAUGGUAUCAGAAACAUUUGAACCUGAGCGUACCUGCUGGAGGCCUAUCAAAAACACUUUUUUGCGCUUAUUAUGGCGCUCUGAUAUGGUAUCAUUCUGUACCUGGCGUAACGCUGACCAUCUACCCAGUAGCAAGUGCUUUGUGCAAAUUUGAGCAUUUAUAUUAUACAAGAAAAAUAAAAGGAUAUAGGGUAUCUAUAUCUAUCCAGGACACAAUACAGUACAUCCACUACAACUACAAACCAAAAAGAAAAACACACAAAAAGCAAAGGAACAGCGCUUUUACUGCUGUUCUUCAUCUUAAAGACAUAGCGAGUACAUACAUGUAUUGAACAAUCUUAGGCUGAUACAUGUUUAAGUCUUAAGAAAAACUAUCUUUGGCUAUAUUGGAAAUUAAAUUGACUCAUUUUUUGUUUUAGUUAUACGAAACAUAACCUUUUGCAUUAAUAAUUCCAAUAAAAAGAAGUAAUUUAUAUACUUAAGAUUAAGAUUAAUCAAUUACACUAUCAUAACUCAUUCGAGUAUAUAAAAAAUUCUACUUGUGAUGUCAUGUCUUGAAACGAGUUUAUACAUACACGACCACGACCGUAAUAAACCUUUUUGUUGCUAUUACAUUCACCAAAAGAGGAACAUAAAACCAUGAAAUUAUUUUAAAAAUUAACAAUAGUAUACUCAUAGUCAUAUAAAUAGUUUAAUUACAAAUUCUACCAUACAAUAGAAAAUCUUUCAAAAAUGACUUCUUACUAUUAAAAUAAUAAAAUAUAAAUGAACCAAUCCUAAAACCUAUUUAUUUCGAUUUUAGACCUUCAAUUUGUUUGCUUCAUUUGAUUAUAAAUACCUGCAACAAAAUUCACAACAAAAGUGAAACAUAAUAUACUCAAACGAACUGAACGGAACAUAAAGUCGUAUGCUAUGCAUGUUAACGUCAAUAAACAGUACAUCGAUACCAAUGAUAUCUUAUCUUUCAUUCGUGUUAAAACUGCUUUGAGAAUAGAGAAUUACAUGCUUUUAUUGAAACGACUAAGAUUACAUAUUUAAUUCAUAAUGUUUCUAUAUAUAGUUAUUGUGACAGGAAAAAGAUGACAACAAUGUUCACUCGAGCUGCUGCAUGUAAUUAAAAAAAAUGCUGUAAAAAGAUACGAAAUACUGUAAUAAUUAACUUAAGUUUUAAAUAUGCGUCUGUCACAUUUGUGAAUUAAUUAAACAGAAUGAAUGCAUUUAAAAGUCCUUCCAGUCUGAGUAAAGAUGCAAAUUCCAAAUUAAAAAAAACAAGAGGUUCGAAAAAAUUCUAAGGGACAGUCAUGCUCAUGUGUCGAAAAUAAACAGACAACGCCAUGGCUAAAACAAGAAAAAGACCAAUUAUAGACGAACAAUAGUACACAAAACACAACAUAGAAAACUAAAGACUGAGCAACACGAACCCCACCAAAAAUGAAAGUGGUAUUCAGGUGCUCCAGAAGGAUAAGCAGAUCCUGCUCCUCAUGUGGCAUUUGUCGUUAAUACAUUACUUCAUUGUUCUGCUAAUUCAGAAUGAGGAGAUACGGUAUGAUUACCAAUGAAACAACAAUUCACCGGCUGUUUCUCCUCUUUUGUCGGGUUGUUGUCUCUUUGACACAUUUCAUAUUUUCAUUUUCAAUUGUAUACGGUAUAUGUUGCAUACAUGUUUACGCUUAUGGCUGAACUGAGUAAAAAGAGACCACUAGUGACUUAUCCUCCAGAAGCACCUUACAUUUUGAUUAACCAGAGUUUGGGUUGGGUUCGCUCAUUCUUAAGUUUUUACUUGGUUUUACUUGUGUGUUGCCUGUGUUAUCCACAUAUUAGAUUUUAGACUUAAGUUUUUACUUGUUACUUGUGUGUUUACUUGGUUUUACUUGUGUGUUGCCUGUGUUAUCCACAUAUUAGAUUUUAGACUUAAAUUUUGACUUGGUUUUACUUGUGUGUUGCCUGUGUUAUCCACACAUUAGUUUAGACUUAAUUUUUACUUUUUACUGUGUGUGCCUGCGUUAUCAGCAUAUUAGUUGUUAGCUUAAGCUUUUACUUGGUUUUACUUGUUGUGUCUGCCGUGUUAUCCACAUAUUAGAUUUAGACUAAUUUUGACUGUUUACUUGUGUGUGCCUGUUUAUCCACACAUUAGAUUUUAGACUUAAAGUUUUACGUGUGUACUUGGUUUCCUGUGUUAUCCACAUAUUAGAUUUUAGACUUAAGUUUUGACUUGGUUUUACUUGUGUGUUGCCUGUGUUAUCCACACAUUAGAUUUUAGACUUAAGUUUUUACUUGUUUUUACUUGUGUGUUGCCUGCGUUAUCCACAUAUUAGAUUUUAGACUUAAGUUUUUACUUGGUUUUACUUGUGUGUUGCCUGUGUUAUCCACAUAUUAGAUUUAAGACUUAAGUUUUGACUUGGUUUUACUUGUGUGUUGCCUGUGUUAUCCACAUUAGAUUUUAGACUUAAGUUUUGACUUGGUUUUACUUGUGUGUUGCCUGUGUUAUCCACGUAUUAGAAUUAGCAUUGGUAUCUUCCACCUCCUUAUUCCAACAUUUUACAGAAAUUUCAGAACCUACCAACUUAGAUGACACAUCGUCGCUACCAAACCUAUCAACUUAGAUGACACAUCGUCGCUAUCCAAACCUAUCAACUUAGAUGACACAUCGUCACUAUCCAAGGCUUACGAUCCAGUAGAGAGGAGGGGCUAGAUCGUAAACCUUGGCUAGCCGGAAGAUGAAGAUGACAUUACUACAUACAAAACAAGGAUCUGACAACACACUUUGUUACUUUCAGUUCAUCAUUGAAUCAAAUGUUAGUCUUCAAAUUUUGUAAUGUAGAACUAAGUGAAGCGCGUCCGCAGGAUUUUGCACAAAACUCAGAGUAAAAAAAAUCACUGUUCCGAUGUCCACCAUCGCUUCUCACAUUUUAUUUGUAAAAAGACUGCAAUAUUUUACGGUAAUUUAGUCCUUUUCAUAAAUAUCUGACUAAAAUGCCGUGAGCGCUCUCACACUACAGUUUCCCAAUAUGAUUUACCCUUCUAAAUAACUUCUAUAAAAAAAAGUUGAUUGACAAUCUUAUCGGAACUCAUCCAAUUCAUAUGAACCUUUGAUAUAGAUUUAUAUAAAUUUAAAAAAGAAAAUGUAUGUAAGAGUAUCCCUUUUAAUACGGUAAGGACAGACAGGCGGACACCCGGUAUAGACAGUUUAAAAGCCCCGCUCCGUAUUUCAGCGGAGUAAAGUUCAAUAAUUUGAUAGUUAUGUAUACAUAUGCCAGUUUUGAAUUUUUUUUUUUAUCUAUAUUCUAUUAUUGUAAAUUUUUUACAAAAAGUGACAUAAUUGAUUUUUAAAUAUUCGGUCGAUUAUUGAAGACAAGAAUUCCGGGAAGACUGUUAUUGCAAAUGUAUUCCAAAUAAUUUAAUACCAUUAUGAUAUAAAAACGUAAACUCAUAAAACACAAUUUAUCUAACAACAAAAAAUAAAAAAAAAAUAAGUUGAAGAAAAACCAAAUAAUAUAGAAGUUCCGCAGAAAACCCAUAUUUGUAAUUUCCCAUCUCCUGCGGAUAAUAAAAUGAACUUGUGAUAACGGCAUUAAUUAUUUACCAUACUUUUAGAAUUAUUGAAAGAUUUUAAUACAGCAUAGCAUGUCAAUAGCUUUCAGUAUGUUCUAACUGAAUUAACUUAGGAUGGUGUGAAAGUCAAAUUAAAUGAACCGAGUGUACAUGUAGUAGACUCGAUCGUAAACAUGUAAACGUUUUGCAUAUUACUUUUUCAAUUGUAAUUGUGAUUAUGCAUCGAUUUCAGAUAGAUGAACAAAAUGUAAGGAAAGAUGAUUGUUCCCUGUCAACUAUGAUUCAGGCACCCGUUAGUAAGUAAUUUUUAUAUUUUUAUUUUCUUACAUUACCG
rnacentral:lncRNA from 1 species